GUGCCAGCCGCCCGGUAAUACCGGCAGCCCAAGUGAUGGCCGAUCUUAUUGGGCCUAAAGCGUCCGUAGCUGGCCACGCAAGUCCAUCGGGAAAUCCACCUGCCCAACAGGUGGGCGCCCGGUAGAAACUGCGCGGCUUGGGACCGGAAGGCGCGACGGGUACGUCCGGGGUAGGAGUGAAAUCCCGUAAUCCUGGACGGACCGCCGAUGGCGAAAGCACGUCGCGAGAACGGAUCCAACAGUGAGGGACGAAAGCCAGGGUCUCGAACCGGAUUAGAUACCCUCGUAGUCC
rnacentral:rRNA from 1 species